rnacentral:rRNA from 1 species
GACGAACGCUGGCGGCGUGCCUAAUACAUGCAAGUCGAACGAGAGCGACCGGUGCUUGCACUGGUCAAUCUAGUGGCGAACGGGUGAGUAACACGUGGGUAACCUGCCCAUCAGAGGGGGAUAACAUCCGGAAACGGAUGCUAAAACCGCAUAGGUCUUCGAACCGCAUGGUUUGAAGAGGAAAAGAGGCGCAAGCUUCUGCUGAUGGAUGGACCCGCGGUGCAUUAGCUAGUUGGUGAGGUAACGGCUCACCAAGGCCGUGAUGCAUAGCCGACCUGAGAGGGUGAUCGGCCACAUUGGGACUGAGACACGGCCCAAACUCCUACGGGAGGCAGCAGUAGGGAAUCUUCCGCAAUGGACGCAAGUCUGACGGAGCAACGCCGCGUGAGUGAAGAAGGUUUUCGGAUCGUAAAACUCUGUUGUUAGAGAAGAACAAGUGCUAGAGUAACUG